AACGAACGUUGGCGGCGUGGAUUAGGCAUGCAAGUCGUACGCGAAAGAGGGGGCAACUCCUCGAGUAAAGUGGCGAACGGGUGAGUAACGCGUAGGAAACCUGCCUUCGAGAUGGGGGAGUAACACUCCUAACGGGGUGCUAAUACCGAAUGACACUGCGGGAUCGCAUGGUUCUGCAGUCAAAGGUGGCCUCUGCUUGCAAGCUACCACUCAAAGAUGGUCCUGCGUCCCANAGUCUAGUUGGCGGGGUAACGGCCCNCCAAGGCGACGAUGGGUAGCCGAUCUGAGAGGAUGACCGGCACACUGGGACUGAGAUACGGCCCAGACUCCUACGGGAGGCAGCAGUCGAGAGGCUUCGGCAAUGGGGAAACCCUGACCGAGCGACGCCGCGUGGAGGAUGAAGG
rnacentral:rRNA from 1 species